UACAGAGGGGGCAAGCGUUGUUCGGAAUUAUUGGGCGUAAAGGGCGCGUAGGCGGCUUGGCAAGUGGAAGGUGAAAUCCCUCGGCUUAACCGAGGAACUGCCUGUCAAACUGCAUGGCUUGAGACCGGGAGAGGUGAGUGGAAUUCCCAGUGUAGCGGUGAAAUGCGUAGAUAUUGGGAGGAACACCAGUGGCGAAGGCGGCUCACUGGACCGGUACUGACGCUGAUGCGCGAAAGCGUGGGGAGCAAACGGG
rnacentral:rRNA from 1 species